AUGAUCGAUCUACAGUCGGAGCAGGUGAAAAAGGUGUGUGAUGGUCGUGGCUUCUGUAAUUUGAUUCCAGUUGUUAGCUUCUACACUCCACAUUCUAGGCUCCAAGUGCCCGGGGACGAAAACCACAACCCAGCGCUGCAGCUGAACCUACUGAGUGGUGGUCAGCAGGGGGGAUGGGAGGAGAAAUCACUAGAGUUGGCACAAGAACUGUUCGAUAAGGGAUGCAAGGCUAUCAAGGAGAAGAACUUCGCCAAUGCGGUUGACUGCUUCAGCCACGCCCUCGAGAUCAGGGUUCGACAUUAUGGAGGACUUGCUCUCGAGUGUGCUAGCACGUUUUCCAGAUAUGGAUGUGCCUUGGUAUGCAAAGCUUGGGAGGCGACCAAUCCUCCAGCUAAUGUUUCAAAGCGCACACCAAAUGAAGAAUCGAUCAAAAUUACACAUACAACCUCAACCAGCAAAGAUGAUGCUGGGAACUUAGAGGCCUCUAGUAGCAGUGUUGAGCAUGUUCCACCUACGGGGAAAGGUGGGUAUGAAGAAGGGGCAAACUUGAAUGGGAAAGAUCUGAAGGAUGAGAACAUGACAGGUAAUGGAGAUGAUUCUGAUUUGAAUCUUGCCUGGAAAAUGUUGGAUACUGCAAGAGUGAUAGUUGCCAAGGGCCCAGAGAAUACAAUGGAGAAAUGCACUAUAUUUUAUGCCCUAGCUGAAGUCGCCAUGAAAAGAGAGGACUGGGACAACUCAAUUGGUUACUACUUCAAAGCUUUAGCCAUCUUGGAGCAUUUGGUUAGGCCUGACCAUAUUCGUAUUGCGGAACUAAACUUCCGCAUAUGUUUGGCCUUUGAGUUAGCAUCCAAGGUUGGGGAUGCGAUCCCAUAUUGUGUGAAGGCUAUUUCACUAUGCAAGUCACGUAUGCAGAAUCUGAAACAUGCCAAGGAAGCUUUGCUGGCUGAUAAAGAGGUUUGCACAUCUGCUGCUGGAGGACGCUCGGGAAAGUUCACUCCAGAAGUGGAGAUAGCUUUCCUUUCUAGAUUCUUGGCCCGACUCCAGAAGAAGCUUGAAAAACUGGAGCUAGCAAUGUCAGCCCCAAGCUCUUGCACAGAUAAGACUAUGAAGAGGGCUCUCUCAAUGGCGAGUCAUGAGCAGAAUGUUAGCAGUACUGUGGCAAGAGCUGCAUCUUCGACUUCACAGAUGGCUGGACCAAACGACAGCUUGCGUUCCCCAACUAUGUCUACAGCAGCAACAACAGGAGGCAUUGGAAGUGGUGUAACUGACUUCAGGAUUGUUAGCACAGGUAUGGAACACGGUAAUGACAAGCCGAUCUCUGACGAACCUUCUCCAAAGCGGUUUGCAGCAGAUGAUUCACCACUCGUGAAUGAAAUGUGA
rnacentral:rRNA from 1 species